GUGGUGCUACGUGCACUGCGCACAUAUAUAAACCCCACAGGCGUAGACAACUCGAACAAUGUCUUAGGGAUUACGGGUUCGGCAUGGCGCAAGCCUUCGUCGGGCCCCUCCAUCCCGGGGUGUCCCAUUUCGGGCUGUGUUCACUCYUCACGGGGUGUUCGCUUCCCGGGUGGGCAUCCCUCGAGUGCGUAGGAUGCGACCCGAAAGAUGGUGAACUAUGCCUGAUCAGGCCGAAGUCAGGGGAAACCCUGAUGGAGGGCCGAAGCAAUUCUGACGUGCAAAUCGAUUGUCAGAGUUGGGCAUAGGGGCGAAAGACCAAUC
rnacentral:rRNA from 1 species